UACGAAGGGGGCUAGCGUUGUUCGGAAUUACUGGGCGUAAAGCGCACGUAGGCGGGUCUGUAAGUAGAGGGUGAAAUCCCAGGGCUCAACCCUGGAACUGCCUUCUAGACUGCAGGCCUCGAGGUCAGGAGAGGCGAGUGGAAUACCGAGUGUAGAGGUGAAAUUCGUAGAUAUUCGGUGGAACACCAGUGGCGAAGGCGACUCGCUGGACUGAUACUGACGCUGAGGUGCGAAAGCGUGGGGACCAAACAGG
rnacentral:rRNA from 1 species